rnacentral:rRNA from 1 species
CCCUUAGACGUUCUGGGCCGCACGCGCGCUACACUGACCAGUGCAACAAGCAUCCGUCCUUGGCCGACAGGCCCGGGCAAUCUUUGAACGCUGGUCGUGAUGGGGAUAGACUUUUGCAAUUUUUGGUCUUCAACGAGGAAUUCCUAGUAAACGCAAGUCAUCAACUUACAUUGAUUACGUCCCUGCCCUUUGUACACACCGCCCGUCGCACCUACCGAUUGAAUGGUCCGGUGAAGCCUCCGGAUUGGCGCGCACCCCGGUGCCGCCGAGAAGUUGGCUAAACCUUACCAUUUAGAGGAAGGUGAAGUCGUAACA